AUUGAACGCUGGCGGCAGGCCUAACACAUGCAAGUCGAACGAGAGGCGGACGGGUGAGUAAUGUCUGGGCAACUGCCUGAUGGAGGGGGAUAACUCCUGGAAACGGUAGCUUAUACCGCAUACCCUCAGCUGUGCCAUGAUGGGAUUAGCUUGUUGGUGGGGUAACGGCUCACCAAGGCGACGAUCACUAGCUGGUCUGAGAGGAUGACAAGCCACACUGGAACUGAGACACGGUCCAGACUGCUACGGUAGGCAGCAGUGGGGAAGAGUGCGUAAUGGGCGAAAGCAUGAUGCGGCCAUGCCGCGUGUAUGAAGAAGGCCUUCGGGUGGUAAAGUACUUUCAGCGGGGAGGCGUUACCUGCAGAAGAAGAACCGGCUAAGUGCGUGCCAGCAGCCGCGGUAAUUC
rnacentral:rRNA from 1 species